rnacentral:rRNA from 1 species
CUCAGGAUGGACGCUAGCUACAGGCUUAACACAUGCAAGUCGAGGGGCAUCAUGGAGUUGCUUGCAAACUCUGAUGGCGACCGGCGCACGGGUGAGUAACGCGUAUCCAACCUUCCCUAUAGUAGAGGAUAGCCCGGCGAAAGUCGGAUUAAUACUCUAUGUUUUCCGUUGCAGACAUCUAAGAUGGAACAAAGGCUUGCCGCUAUAGGAUGGGGAUGCGUCUGAUUAGGUAGUCGGCGGGGUAACGGCCCACCGAGCCAUCGAUCAGUAGGGGUUCUGAGAGGAAGGUCCCCCACAUUGGAACUGAGACACGGUCCAAACUCCUACGGGAGGCAGCAGUGAGGAAUAUUGGUCAAUGGGCGAGAGCCUGAACCAGCCAAGUAAGCGUGCAGGACGACGGCCCUAUGGGUUGUAAACUGCUUUUAUGCGGGGAUAAAGUUCACUACGUGUAGUGUUUUGUAGGUACCGCAUGAAUAAGGACCGGCUAAUUCCGUGCCAGCCGCGGC